AUACUCUGGUUUCUCUUCAGAUCGUAUAAAUCUUUCGCCUUUUACUAAAGAUUUCCGUGGAGAGGAACAGUUGUGAGUUUUAACCCAAUUUUUUGAAGCCUCGUUGGAAAGAGGCU
ensembl:snRNA U5 U5 spliceosomal RNA